rnacentral:rRNA from 1 species
GACGAACGCUGGCGGCGUGCUUAACACAUGCAAGUCGAACGGAAAGUCCCUGCUUUUGUGGGGUGCUCGAGUGGCGAACGGGUGAGUAACACGUGAGUAACCUGCCCUUGACUUUGGGAUAACUUCAGGAAACUGGGGCUAAUACCGGAUAGGAGCUCCUGCUGCAGGGUGGGGGUUGGAAAGUUUCGGCGGUUGGGGAUGGAAUCGCGGCUUAUCAGCUUGUUGGGGGGGUAGUGGCUUACCAAGGCUUUGACGGGUAGCCGGCCUGAGAGGGCGACCGGCCACAUUGGGACUGAGAUACGGCCCAGACUCCUACGGGAGGCAGCAGUGGGGAAUAUUGCACAAUGGGCGGAAGCCUGAUGCAGCAACGCCGCGUGCGGGAUGACGGCCUUCGGGUUGUAAACCGCUUUCGCCUGUGACGAAGCGUGAGUGACGGUAAUGGGUAAAGAAGCACCGGCUAACUACGUG